UACGUAGGGUGCAAGCGUUAAUCGGAAUUACUGGGCGUAAAGCGUGCGCAGGCGGUUUUGUAAGACUGUCGUGAAAUCCCCGGGCUCAACCUGGGAAUGGCGAUGGUGACUGCAAGGCUAGAGUUUGGCAGAGGGGGGUAGAAUUCCACGUGUAGCAGUGAAAUGCGUAGAUAUGUGGAGGAACACCGAUGGCGAACGGCAGCCCCCUGGGUCAAAACUGACGCUCAUGCACGAAAGCGUGGGGAGCAAACAGG
rnacentral:rRNA from 1 species